CGAAAGCCUGACGGAGCAAUACCGCGUGAGGGAUGAAAGCCUGUGGGUUGUAAACCUCUUUUCUCAAGGAAGAAAUUCUGACGGUACUUGAGGAAUAAGCAUCGGCUAACUCUGUGCCAGCAGCCGCGGUAAUACAGAGGAUGCAAGCGUUAUCCGGAAUCACUGGGCAUAAAGCGUCUGUAGGUUGCUUAGCAAGUCUGUUGUUAAAGAUCAGGGCCUAACCCUGGGAAAGCAAUGGAAACCACUAGGCUUGAGUAUGGUAGAGGUAGAGGGAAUUCCUGGUGUAGCGGUGAAAUGCGUAGAUAUUAGGAAGAACACCAAUGGCGAAAGCACUCUACUGGGCCAUAACUGACACUAAGAGACGACAGCUAGGGGAGCAAAUG
rnacentral:rRNA from 1 species